rnacentral:lncRNA from 1 species
CGGCCGGCCAACGCUGCGCCCCGCCCCCUACCGGGACCUAGGCGCUGAUUGGCCCCUGAGAGACCCUUUGCGCCCAGGCAUUGGUCCAGUGGCCGCCUGUCGACGAGGGGGCGGGACUCCGAGGGGUAGCGAUUCCCGUAACGCGGCUCUUCGCGUCCCGGAUUCCGGUGGCUGCGUCCGCGUCGCCUCUCCCAGACUAGAUCGAAGGGUUCCCCCCACCUCCCCUCUGUGGGCGGAAAGAGCGGAAUGUUCCAUUUUUCUGUGGAAUAACGGGGUCAUGAACUGGAGCCCGGGUGCUGCCCGCCGCCCGCUGCCCCCGCCCUCCCUUCUCGCCAGGGCGCCUGCGGCCUCUCUUCGCGGCCUUCCCCGAGGGACUCAGAGCCGCGAGGGACCGCCUAGCUCCCUUGGGGAUGGGGAAGGCGUGGGAGCCUCUUGGGGAAAGUGAAGAGCUCGGUGGCCGUGACUCCGCACGAGACUGCGGCAGAUUGUGGCGGCGGCUUCUCUCCAAGACUUACGUAAACGAGCCUUGCCACAGUACUUUUUUAAAUUAGUAAAUGAGUUUGGGUGCGAUUGAUCAGUGAGCCCCAGAGGUGGUGGCCCACCAAGCGACUAGUGUUUCUUUGCGGUUUGUACCUCCCCGUUUAUGAUAAAAAAUACCGGGUAAAAACCUAUUCAUCCCGCCUCCGCCCCCCCCUUUCCCUCAGAAAAUGGACCUCAAGGCUCAUGAUGUUUGUUUCUCCCCAAAGGAAGAUGAGAAUCUUGAGUUAAAAGAUAAGGAUUUACGGAAUGGCCAUCUUCCAUAAUUAACAAAUAAAUAAAUGAAAUUUAAUGUCAGGGUCAAAUGAAACUGGAAACAAAGCUUAUCUGGUGAUAUAUCAAAUUAUGAGAGUCAUUAUUUGGAUGUAAGGAUAUAUGACAGAUAGACUCUUAGGAGAAAUGCUAUGACCUCCUGCUUCUUGGUAUUCCUUGUGUGAUUUCCUCCUCUUGAGUGUGAAGGCAUGUAUGUCAUUGAGUUAUAUAAGAUAGUGCCCAUCUUGCUAGUGUCUCUCUCUCUCUUGUGGCUCUGAAAAAUCAAGCUGCCUGCCAUGUUUGAGCUUUGAUAUGGAAAGACCCACAUGUUAAGGAACUGAGGGCAGACUCUGCCAACAGCUAGCUUUGAAACUGAAUCUCCCGGCCAGGCACAGUGGCUCAUGCCUUUAAUCCCAGCACUUUGGGAGGCCAAGGUGGGUGGAUCACAAGGUCAGGAGUUCAAGACCAGCCUGGCCAAGAUGGUGAAACCCCAUCUCUACUAAAAAUACAAAAAUUAGCUGGGUGUGGUGGCAGGCACCUGUAAUCCCAGCUACCCAGGAGGCUGAGGGAGAGAAUUUCUUGAACCCAGGAGGCAGAGGUUGCAGUGAGCUGAGAUCACGCCACUGCACUCCAGCCUGGGUGGCAGAGCGAGACUCCAUCUCAAAAAAAAAAAAAAAAGAGAGAAAGAAACCAAAUCUCUCAGUCCUACAACCUCAAGGAACUGAAUUUUGCCAACAAAAGCAGAUCCUUCCCCAGUCAAGCCUCAGAUGAGACAGCAUCCUCAGCUAACAACUUGUUUGCAGCCUCAUGAGAACUGAAGCAGAGAACCCAGCUAAACUGUGCCUAGACUCCUGACCACAGAAACUGAGAUAAUAAAUGUGUGUUGUUUUAAGCUGCCAAGUAUGUGAUAAUUUGUUAUGUAGUGGAGAACUAAUACAACAGGGAAAAGUUAAAAGCUAUUCACAUAAAUAUUUAUAAUGGAUACUAUUUCUACACAUUUAAAUCAAGCUUCUCUUACGUUCAUAAGAAGAUACGAAUCUGGAGAAGGAAAUUAUAUCAAGCAGAACGCUGCUCUGGUGUUGUGAAGACGGGAUCCCACCAUUCUAAUGUAUUCAAUUUAUUUAUUCAAUAAGUUUUGAGCAUCAACUAUGUUCCAGGCACUGAGAUAUUAAUCUAAGGAAGACACACGUGUUGUCCUCAUUGAGGAGCUCAAAAGUCUAAUACAUAAACCAACAAUCAUACAAAAAUCAUAGCCAUGUUACAGUGCUAUGAGGAAGAUGUUAAGAGAAUAUUCUGGAAGUACUCAUACAUAAAUACUUCAGAAACUGGGCAUUAUAAGAAGUCAGUUGCCUCUCUCUACUUUCAGUUCUACAUUUUUAUACCUUGUAGUGGAUUUAAAAUGGCCACAAAUUCUUCAAUACUCUUCUAUGGAGAGAUUUGAGGGCUAUUUCCCUUCAUCUUGAAUUUAGGCAGGCUUGUUCAGGGUCUGGCUUUUAAGAGGAGCUUUCACCUUGGUCUGUGGAAGUCCUGAGUCACUGUGUACAAAGUCCAUCUACCUUAUUACACCAUCUGGAGAGAGCUGAGACUACAGGGAGAGGGGGAGUGGCCCGGCUGAUCCCAGUCUUCCUAGUGACCCUGCCCAGGAACUUGGCAUGUGAGUAAAGCCAUCUUGGAACCUCCAUACCAGACCAGCCACGAGAUGAAUAAUACUAACUGAUCCCAGUCAAUGCCACAUAGAGCAGAAGAACUGCCUAACUGAAUUCUUUCCAAACUGCUGACUCAAAAAUUUGUAUGGUAUAAUAAAAUGUUUGUUUUAAGUCACUGUUUUGUUAGGAGUAAUAAGCAACCAGAAUAAAAUUCUAAUCUUUAUCAUGUACCGUGCUGAAAAUCUGACCAUCUCACUCUCCUUAAAACUCCGUCAAUCCCUUCCCAUUACCCAAAUC